rnacentral:rRNA from 1 species
GACGAACGCUGGCGGCGUGCCUAAUACAUGCAAGUCGAGCGAAUCUGAUGGGAGCUUGCUCCUUGAUGAUUAGCGGCGGACGGGUGAGUAACACGUGGGUAACCUGCCUGUAAGACUGGGAUAACUCCGGGAAACCGGGGCUAAUACCGGAUAACUUUUUUCUUCGCAUGAGGGAGAAUUGAAAGAUGGCUUCGGCUAUCACUUACAGAUGGACCCGCGGCGCAUUAGCUAGUUGGUGAGGUAACGGCUCACCAAGGCGACGAUGCGUAGCCGACUUGAGAGGGUGAUCGGCCACACUGGGACUGAGACACGGCCCAGACUCCUACGGGAGGCAGCAGUAGGGAAUCUUCCGCAAUGGACGAAAGUCUGACGGAGCAACGCCGCGUGAGUGAUGAAGGUUUUCGGAUCGUAAAACUCUGUUGUUAGGGAAGAACAAGUAUCGUUCGAAUAGGGCGGUACCUUGACGGUACCUAACCAGAAAGCCACGGCUAACUACGUG